rnacentral:rRNA from 1 species
UACGGGGGGGGCAAGCGGUUGUUCGGAAUUACUGGGCGUAAAGCGCACGUAGGCGGACAUUUAAGUUGGAGGUGAAAGCCUUGGGCUCAACCCAAGAAAUUGCCUUUGAUACUGGAUGUCUCGAGACCGGGAGAGGUGAGUGGAAUUCCGGAGUGUAGAGGUGAAAUUCGUAGAUAUUCGGAAGAACACCAGUGGCGAAGGCGGACUCACUGGCCCGGUUCUGACGCUGAGGUGCGAAAGCGUGGGGAGCAAACAGG